GACGAACGCUGGCGGCGUGCUUAACACAUGCAAGUCGAGCGGUAAGGCCCUUUCGGGGGUACACGAGCGGCGAACGGGUGAGUAACACGUGGGUGACCUGCCCUCAGCUCUGGGAUAAGCCCGGGAAACUGGGUCUAAUACUGGAUAUGACUCCAUGACGCAUGUUGUGGGGUGGAAAGCCUUGUGCGGCUGAGGAUGGGCCCGCGGCCUAUCAGCUUGUUGGUGGGGAACGGCCUACCAAGGCGACGAUGCGUAACUGGUCUGAGAGGACGAUCAGCCACACUGGGACUGAGACACGGCCCAGACUCCUACGGGAGGCAGCAGUGGGGAAUCUUGCGCAAUGCGCGAAAG
rnacentral:rRNA from 1 species